rnacentral:misc_RNA from 1 species
CUCUCUAUCUCCCUCUCUCUCUCUUGCUCACAUUUCACAUUUCCUCUUUAUUUACAGCAAUUUAUGAGAUUCCUCUAAAUGGUCUUUUCUCUUCUCUAUUGGAUUGUACAAAUUCCCAGCUGAAAAUACCCAUCAAAAAUAUUUUCAUUUUUUUGUUGAUUUUGGCUUGGUUUCUUGCUGUUUUCUUUAAUUUUAUUCAACUGUAAGGGAGAAACUUUUCUGGGUUUGUUGGCUUUUGUUCUAUUUUGCAAACUGUCUCUGGGUUUGUUGCAGAAGAGCCUUAUAUACCCAGAAGCAUAUGUGUUAUAUAAGCCUUGAAAAUACAAACAAAAUUUUAUAGACUUUUGAUUUAAAAAAAAAAAAUUGAAAACUUUUUUGUCAAUAUAAUCAGUUUUUGAUUUUUCCUCUCUUUCUGUAAAUAUUUUUUGAAUUUCUUUCUUCACUUGAGGAAAGGAGAGACAUGGGCAAGCAAGGGCCUUGCUGUCACUGUGGAGUUACAAGUGAGUUCUUGUUUCUCCAGUAUGCAAGAGAAAAAAAUUGGAUUCUUGAAUUAAUUUACUUGUUUUCAAUAACUAUUUCUAAUUGAUUUUAGAUGUUUGGGAAAAAUAAUUAUAUCAUUGAACAGAACGACUCUAAGCAACAAGGAAAAGAUUACCUGGACAAAGAUAAUAAAUUGAGAAUAUGUGCUGUUCUUGUGUGCUGUUCUGUUUGUAAAUGAAAUUUGAACUACAGGUGUCUUUGGUUCUAUAAAUACAUCAGAUAUUGGUUUUAUCCUUUGGGUUUGUUAUUGUAUUUAUAAACCUUUUAUCAAUUGCUUGGUGUUUUCUUCUUUGACCUAACAAAUUCUGAACACAUCUUCCUUGCUAAUUGAGUUAGGAGUCUGUUGAAUAUUGGGCAGUUACAGUGUAAAUUUGAUUGGUAGUGGCCUCUUGUUUCUGUUUAGUAUUUUAUUGGACUCAAAUACCUAGUCAAAAUAUGGUUGUUGUUUGUGUGUUCCUUGCAAAAAAUAAUAAUUCAAUGAAAAGAUUGACCUCAUUCACUGAUUCUGUUAAGUUCUUCAGAGAAUUCUUCCUUGUUUGUCUCAUGUCUAUAUUCCAUAUCCAGGCAAUCUUUGCUGCAAAAUGCAUUACUCUCCAAUUAAAGCCUUCUAGCUAUUCAAUUCAGCUCCUUUGAAGCGUUCUCUUUGUUGUCAUACUGUGAAUCAGCUCUAAACUUCGAACUGAUCGCACAACUCCUUUAUCACUCCAAUGGAGACUUUGGUUAAAGAAGUGGCAUGGUGUAGGCAUUUGCUGGAAGUAUACUUUCAUUUUAGUUUUUUGCCACUUUAACUCCAUGAGAAGCAGUUUGGUGCUAUUUGUAGUCGCAGCCACAAGUUGAAAAUCUUAUGCUUUAAGUCGUGGAAACAAGGAAGCAAGAACUUGUUCCCAUUGGCAAUAGCUUAUACCUUUUGGUGUUCCUUCUCCAUUUUUUAGAACUUAGAAGUGAAGAGUGAAGCAAAUAUUUAGAUAUGCUAGAGAAUUUUUAGGAGAUGCUUUGCAUAUUAAAUAUUAAUGAAUAAUGAGUUGAAAAGUCCAGAGAAAAAUGCAGCUUUCUGUUGGUUUUGUUCUGAGUCAAAUGGUGUCUGCUGUUUUGACCAUAUAACUGUGGCUGAAUGUCAGCUGUUGAGCUGAUAGAGAAACUUGUGAUUCUAUUAUCACUUGGAUAUUAUACCGUUGGCUUCAUCUUCAUGGUUAUUGCGCUCUUUCUGUUUGGCAUAGACAGCCCAUAUGGUGGAGCAUUUGCGACAUAAUUAGUGGCUAACUCAUCUAUGUUGAGAAGAGUAUCAGUUCAAAUAUUUUGUUGUGUGAAGUAGAGAAAGAAUGAAAAAUUACUUGUCUUUUGAAUGAAAAUGGACUAAAAUUAGAAAAUUAUCAACUCUUUAUUUUUAAUGUUCCUUUCCUGUAUCUAUAAUCAGCAUGUCAUGAUUGACAACUCUUUACUCUGAGCUCAACAUUCCUUCCCUCUUUUUUUAUGCUUAUCUUCAUGCAUGUAUGAAAUGGAGUCUUUUUUUCAAACAGAGCUCUAAGCAUCCACCCAAGCUUAGUUUUGGUUUGAGAGAUUCGAGUGCAUCUGAUAGGUCACCUUAAAAAGAAGCAACCUUAAAGAACACUUUUUUUUCAUUAAAAGCUGGCAAUUUAGCCAUAAAGAAGAUAUGCCGAACUUUUUUUUUUUUCCUUCCUUUUCCUAGCUUGUGUUUAUGAAGUUUCAGAUUAUCAUUAUUUCCUCUUGUUCAUUUAUAUUAAUGUAAAUUGCAUCUUCUAUUAUUUAUUGUGCAUAAAAUUGUGUGCUAUACAUAUUGCUGACUGAAAAGCUUUGCAAUAGGCACACCUCUUUGGCGCAAUGGGCCUCCUGAAAAGCCAGUACUAUGCAACGCUUGUGGAUCUAGAUGGAGAACAAAGGGGACUCUUGCAAACUAUACACCACUUCAUGCUCGGGCAGAUCCUGAUGAUUAUGAGGAUCACAGGGGAUCCAGAGUGAAGAGCAUAUCUAUAAACAAGAACAAAGAAGUGAAACUACUCAAAAGAAAGGCAAAUCAUGAUAAUGGGGAGGCGGGUGGGGUUGCCUCUGAUUACUAUCAGGGUUACCGAAGGGUUUUAGAUGAAGAUACUAGUAAUAGAUCAAGUUCUGGAUCAGCCAUAUCCAACUCUGAGAGCUGUGCACAAUUUGGCAGUGCAGAUGCAAGUGAUUUGACAGGUUGGGCUUUCAAUAAAAUUACUCCUCGUACUCUCUGUUCAGAUUGAGAAAACAAGAGUAUAUUUAGAAAUGUUAGUUGAGCACGCAUUGAAUUGAAUGGAUUAGUGCAUACUAUCGUUGAUAUGCUCAAUUGCCUGUGAAAGCACAUGAAUUUUGUGCUUAAUGCAAGGGAACAAUGGAUCCAGGAAAGAGUGCUAAAUUGGGGCGAGGAAGAAAGAAGGAAGAUGAAUAUGUUAUUGUUGCGAGAGCAGGAAUUAUAAUUCACAAAAAAAUCUGUGAUAUUCUAAAUGAACAUAAGUAGCUUCUUUUAUUUUUUUCUAGGAUUUGGCUAUGCUGGAAGCUGGCUGCUAUAUCUGUUUCCUUUUUAAAAUACAACACUAUGGUUAAGAACUCUUGAAAUGUUACUUCUAAUCUGCCAGAGUGUUACAAUUGGAGUGAAAGUCUGCAUUAUAGACUUGGUUUUGCCAGAUUGAAGCUCUAGAUAUAACUGGGAAUAGUUAAUUGCCACUUUUACUGUUUAAUAUCUUCUCAUUGUGUGCUUGGUCUGCCUAUUCUGAAGCAUUAUGCUUGAUACUUCUAGUUCUAUAUCAUUGUAAGAGUUUUAAGGGGCUCUGUGGCUCGAUCGUAAAGGCUGUGUACAAGUUUUAUGCUUUCAUUGGGCUGGUGAUGUCGGCACUAAAUACUUUCCCAUUGCUUUUUCCCAGGUCCUGCCCAAUCAGUUGUGUGGGACACAAUGGUACCUUCUAGGAAGAGGACCUGUGUCAAUCGUUCAAAGCCAUCUCCCGUUGAGAAGCUAACUAGAGAUUUAUAUACUAUUUGGCAUGAACAACAGUCGUCAUGCUUCUCUGGAUCUUCUGACGAGGACCUGCUUUUUGAGAGUGAAACACCAAUGGUUUCUGUUGAGAUAGGACAUGGAAGUGUUCUCAUUAGACAUCCAAGCUCAAUAGCUCGAGAUGAGGAAUCUGAAGCUAGCUCCCUUUCUGUUGAGAACAAACAAUACUCAAUAAAUGAGGCUUAUUCACAUCAUGUGACCCUUCCUGUACAUAAUGAAAACAAAAGUGUCAAUAUGCAAAGUCUUGUGAUUGAAAAAUCUAAGAACCCUGCUGGACCAGGGAUGCAACAAGAGCAAUUCAAAAGGUAAUUCCACUCUGGAUACUUUCAAAGGUUACAAGGUCAUUUCUUUGUGAAGCACAUUUCUUUCCCAGCUGUGUAUCUAAGAUACAAACAUGGGGUCAGUGUUUGACUCAGAUAUGAAGUUCCUAUCAUAGCCACAUCCUAAGGAUUUAACUGAGAAUUUAAACGUAGAUUUAUACAUUGGUUAGGUCUCUAACAUGGAGAGAUUACCCUUUGUCAAUGUUUAAAUGGAAUAUCCUUUUCUUUAUUACCUAUUUUUCUGAGACAGUGAUUAUCUAAUGUUAUUGUGAAUAUUUAUUAAAAAAGCUGGUGGCUGGAUGGAUUGAAGGUAAGAAACAGAGAAGACAUUUUGGAGUAGGAAUCUAAAGUUCUCAAUCUUGCUAUGUUUGAUAUGUUCUGCUGUUUGGAAUUUCAGGGAUAAGUCGAAGCAUGAAAGGGCACAAGUCUUGGGAAAUCACAAUUCACCGUUAUGUAAUGUGGAUUUAAAUGUAAGUUCUAAUGAAAUGGUUUCAUAGGGUAAACUCUUAGUUUCUUACAAACUUGAUUCUUUGCUUAGUAUUGUCAUCUUAAAUUUCGCAUGGUGUUAUCAUGAAGCACAAUGAGCAUUUUUACUACAUACACUCUUGGAAAUGGUGAAUGGUGAACAUGUAUUUUACUAAUAUCCAACCCGGUUUUACAUUUAUCCUUCUUUUGUUUCCUGAAUAAAGUAUGCUGUUCUUCACUUCUUCACUAGUGUCUGUUUACUCUAAUUUAUUUGAGGAUUGCUUUUUUACUUGUUGAGCAUGUACAGUGAUUAUCCAUUUUUAUCACAGGACAUUAUUAAUUUUGAGGAGUUUACAAGAUACUUGACUAAUGAAGAACAGCAGCAGUUGCUAAAAUAUCUACCUCCUGUUGAUACUGCCAAACUUCCAGAGAGCAUCAGAAGCAUGUUUGAUAGCCCUCAACUUAAGGAGAAUAUAUCUUGCUUUCAACAACUGCUUGGGGAAGGGGUCUUUGAUCUUUCCAUGUCAGGAGUAAAAACUGAAGACUGUAAUACUUUGAAAAGGUUAACACUGUCCAAUCUGUCAAAAUCCAAAUGGAUGGAGCAUUAUCAUCAACUCAAGAAAUGUAAAAAUACUACUGGAAAGUCUCUUGUUGGAAGAGCACCAAAUGGCAUUACAUCAAAUAAUUUAAUUGCUACCAAGAGAUCACGUGACACCCUAGGUCAAAAAAUUCCAGAAGUGAAGGUGAUGAAGAGCCCCAAAAGGAUUAACAUGAAGGCUAUCUAUGAAAACAAAGAAGUCAUGGACAAUGAUGGCUCUUGCUUUAGUCCAAGAAGCCUAUUUGCCUUGCCUCCUGAUGGUGGUUCCCUCAUGCUGGAUUCUUUCCAUUAUGUUGAUGAAAGUUCAGAUCAGGAUCUGCUAUUGGAUGUGCCAUCCAAUGGCUCAUUUCCACAAGCAGAGCUCCUUAACCCAACUUUAAGUUUUGGGCAGCAGGCAAGCACUAGCAGUAGCUCAACAUACCCAUAUCUAGUCCGUCCCUGACAAAGUUUGCCAGAUCAGUACUUUGAUCAUUAGCGCUCUAUAGAUUCACCUUUUGCCGAAUUCCGUGACUAGGUUACAAUCUGUGAUGAGGCUUGAUGGUUGCUUUUUUUCCCUUUGAUAUUUUCAAACUUUGGUAUGCUAAGGGACUUGUGGAUGGGGCUUUUUUGUAUAGGUUGACGACAGAUUGUAAUAUAUAGUUAAAAAUGAACAAGAGAUGGUGAUUUCAAUAGUCAUGUGUGCAGUUUUAGUCCUUGUAUUGCAAGAUAACUUCAGAGAUUCUCAUUGGCUUGUUAAUACAAAUCCAUAAUAUCGCCAAGAUAACUUCAGAGAUACUCAGUCCUUCAAGUAGAUGGGUGAUGUGAGGAGGAUGUUAGUCACAGGAUUAAAGUCGGAUGGUUGAAGCGGAGGAGUGAAGUGAGAGUCUGAGUUUCACUUGAUUACAAAAUUUUUAAUAAGUUGGAAGGAAAAUUCUAUUGCACAGCUAUACGACCGACCAGCUCGGCUAUGUUACAUGAUAGUGGGUGUUGAGCACUUGCAUGUGUUGCAGAGAGUUGGAUGAGUGAUCAUACUAGAUUAGAUAAAGUUCAUAAUGAGAAUAUUAGAGAAAAGAUAGAGGAGCUGUGCUAAUCGAGGAAAAGUUGAGAGAAGUGAGAUUGAGG